UAGCGAAAAACAGAAGUGUUAAAGUUGCAACGUUUAUAGUUCUACCAACCAAAAUAAGAAGCACGCAUAUAAGGGUAGCCUCUCAUGGAGAGUCCAGCUGCCUGUUUCUCUGCUUUCUGAUGCCCUCACAAUGACAUCUGCUCCUAAAGUCACACCAGCUUGUGAAGGAAAAACGGAGUAAAACAAGGAAAAAUGACUUUUACUUUUGUGUGCUGAGAACAAAAGCAACACAACUCACCAGGAACCAUCCCUGCCAGCGUGGAGGUGGGGUAGCUGCCUUGUCCUGUCGGGGGGACGUGAGGCGGGUAGCCAGCUUCUGUUUUCUCAACCCCCGGGCAACCGUUGUCAAACAGACAGCGGCUACAGCGUAACAGCAACUGAUACAAAUGCUGCGUUCAAGACCACUGAACUCUGAAACUAAUCAGAUAUGGUGUUGCUUAUUGUCCUGGAGACGAGGCAGCGCCCGGGAAAAGGGAGCCUGUCAAAUCAGAGGCCCUGAUGAUGGAGAUGGAAGAUAAACUCGGGGUCCACGGGGACCUUGUUCCCCCUGCAAACACAUCUCUGGGAGAGAGGAGGUGGUAUAGAGUUCUCCAGCAUCUGUCUGUGCUCCACCACAGAUACCACAUCUACAGACCCCAUCAACCAUAGAAAUGGACCGUUAAGAACCUGCACCAAUCCUGGCAGUGAUGCUUCAGGAUACAGACUGUCAAGUUUGAGCUCACAUCCUCCACAAGGAGAGUCAGUCAGCGGACCAUUAUCAUCCCCAUCAUCACCAGCAUCAUCCUCACUUACCGUUUGCAGCUGCGCUCUGUAGAUGGCGCUCCGGCAGCAGCUUCCAGGCCCCUGCGUCCAUGCGCGCAGGCGGGCUGCAGGCGCGCAGGCCGCCACUGUACGGGUGGAUGCAGCUGAGGCCGGCCGGGUCAAAGGUUGAUGAUUUGUUCGACAAACUUCCCACUGGAAACUUUCUGUGAGCGGUGGAAGCAGAUCCAGAGAAAACGUAUAAGGGUCUCCGGAGGUUCCAGUCCGGACAAUGAUAUAUCUAACUCCCCUUUGAGGUCAGCUGGACGGAGUCCAGAACAUCACCUGCAAUCAAUAGUGUUGGUAAAGCAGGCCCAACUGAACACAUGUGAGGGCAAAGCCUCUGCUCACAGUCCCACGGUGGGUAUGAAAGGACUGCAUGGCCCAUUGCCCCGCUAAAACCAAACCAGAGCCAGGCCGGACACCUGACACAACAGCAUGUUCACGAAGGGCAAAGAGAAAAUAAAGACUAGGUUUGAGGAAUUAUAAGAUUGUAUAUAAAUAAUCCUCUGCAUUUAUAAUAUAAACGAGGUAGGGCUUAAUAAUUGACACCAUUUAUGUAAUUGAUGCCACUGUCAUAACUCAGAGUUAGCUUUUUGGGCUUCUCUGUUGGCAGCUUAGUCUAAUCAUUGGCAGACCCAAAUGUAAUGUUUGAGAAAAAGAAAAUCUAUUCCAAAGUGUUUCUAGUGGUUUUUUUAAAAAUCAUGAUUAUAAUAUUUUUAGGCAAAAUCAUCAACUCAUUGUCAUUUUCUGGGACAUAGUUUCUGCAGAGCGGCAGUAGCUCAUAAGAAAUUCGCCUACUGUGUCUUUCUAACUGCAUGUUUUUGUCUGCUCCUG